AUGAUUAGUAAUUUCUGAUUGACACAUCUGAAUACCUAUCUGAACCCCUAUUCCCCCCCGGACACCUCCCCCCAAUCAAAACACAUCGGAACUGACACAUAAUAUGACACAGAGGGAGCGGUGAGGUAUUUCACAAAGCCAGAA